rnacentral:rRNA from 1 species
AUACGGAGGGUGCAAGCGUUAACCGGAAUUACUGGGCGUAAAGCGUGCGUAGGUGGUUUGUUAAGUCAGAUGUGAAAGCCCCGGGCUCAACCUGGGAACUGCAUUUGAAACUGGCAUACUAGAGUAUAGGAGAGGAAAGUGGAAUUUCAGGUGUAGCGGUGAAAUGCGUAGAUAUCUGAAGGAACAUCAAUGGCGAAGGCAGCUUUCUGGACUAAUACUGACACUGAGGUACGAAAGCGUGGGUAGCAAACAGGAUUAGAAACCCUAGUAGUCC